AUGGUAGGAUAGAGGCCUACCAUGGUGGUAACGGGUAACGGGGUGUUAGGGCACGACACCGGAGAGGGAGCCUGAGAAACGGCUACCACAUCCAAGGAUGGCAGCAGGCGCGCAAAUUACCCAAUCCCGACACGGGGAGGUAGUGACAAUAAAUAACAAUACGGGGUUCUUAUGGAUCUCGUAAUUGGAAUGAGUACAAUUUAAAUCUCUUAACGAGGAACAAUUGGAGGGCAAGUCUGGUGCCAGCAGCCGCGGUAAUUCCAGCUCCAAUAGCGUAUAUUAAAGUUGUUGCAGUUAAAAAGCUCGUAGUUGAAUUUCGGGGUCAGUAGGUUGGUCAUGCCACUGGUAUGUACUGGUCUCACUGAUUCCUCCUUCCUGAUGAACUGUAAUGCCAUUAAUUUGGUGUUGCAGGGAAUCUGGACUGUUACUUUGAAAAAAUUAGAGUGUUUAAAGCAGGCUAACGCCUGAAUACAUUAGCAUGGAAUAAUGAAAUAGGACGUUCGAUCCUAUUUUGUUGGUUUCUAGGAUUGACGUAAUGAUUAAUAGGGAUAGUUGGGGGCAUUAGUAUUCAAUUGUCAGAGGUGAAAUUCUUGGAUUUAUUGAAGACUAACUACUGCGAAAGCAUUUGCCAAGGAUGUUUUCAUUAAUCAAGAACGAAAGUUAGGGGAUCGAAGACGAUCAGAUACCGUCGUAGUCUUAACCAUAAACUAUGCCGACUAGGGAUCGGAUGAUGUUAAUUUUUUAAUGACUCAUUCGGCGCCUUACGGGAAACCAAAGUGUUUGGG
rnacentral:rRNA from 1 species